rnacentral:rRNA from 1 species
AAAGCUUGAUCCAGCAAUUUCGCAUGUAUGAAGAAGACCACUAAACGUUGUAAAGUACUAAGCUCGGGGAUAAUAAUGACGGUACCCGAGUAAAAAGCCCUGACUAACUUCGUGCCAGCAGUCGCGGUAAAACGGAGAGGGCAAGUGUUAUUCGUAUUGACUGGGUGUAAAGGGUACGUAGGCGGUUAUUUAAGUUAUAAAAAAAAAACUAUAUCUUUUUAUAAUACUAUAUGACUAGAGUUAAAAAGGGGAUGGCGGUACCUCCAGUUUAGAAGUGACAUUCGUUUGAGAUUGGGGGGACCAACAAUAGGCGAUGGCUGCUUUCCAUUUUUAUACUGACGCUGAGGUACGAAAGCAUGGGGAGCGAACAGGAUUAGAGACCCUGGUAGUCCAUGCCCUGACCUAUGAAUAUUAAUCGUCCAUUUAGAUAGUGGAUGACUAAGCUAACGCGAAAAUAUUCCACCUGAGGACUACGGCCGCAAGGUUAAAACUCAAAGAAAUUGGCGGAAGAUCGUUUAAGCGGUGGAGUAUGUGGUUUAAUUCGAUAAUACGCGAAAAACCUUACCAAUCUUUGUGCACAUUUUCGGUUCUACAAAACUUGUAGCCCAAAUUGAGGUGGUCAAUUUGGGCUAGCUAUGUGCCAGGCGUUGCAUGGCUGUCGUAAGCUCGUGUCUUAGGAUGUGUGGUUAACUCCAUGAACGGGCGCAACCCUUGUUCCUAGUUAGAUUAGGAAUGAAAACAGUGAAAACUGCUUUUGAGGAUGAGGAGUAUGUCAAGUCAAUAUGACCUUUAUAGAUUGGGCUACACACGUACUACAACGGUAGCUACAAUGAGAAACAAUGCCGUGAGGCGGAGUAAAUCUCUAAAACCUACCCUAGUUCGGAUUAUUUUUUGAAAUAAAAAUAUGAAGCCGGAAUCGCUAGUAAUCGCAAAAAAGAAUGUUGCGGUGAAUAUUAAGACCGAUCUUAGUACACACCGCCCGUCACGCCAUGGAAGCUUGUUUGGUUUGAAGAUAUUAAGUCACAUGUUUCGAAGUGAUUAUUCCUUAAUAAGUUCAUGUUAUAUGUGUUACUGGUAUCGACAAUUAUAUAGGUAACUGGGGUGAAGUC